GGGAACAUACCCUUUUCUACGGAAUAGCUCUGGGAAACUGGAAUUAAUACCGUAUACGCCCUACGGGGGAAAGAUUUAUCGGGGAAGGAUUGGCCCGCGUUGGAUUAGCUAGUUGGUGGGGUAAAGGCCUACCAAGGCGACGAUCCAUAGCUGGUCUGAGAGGAUGAUCAGCCACAUUGGGACUGAGACACGGCCCAAACUCCUACGGGAGGCAGCAGUGGGGAAUAUUGGACAAUGGGCGCAAGCCUGAUCCAGCCAUGCCGCGUGAGUGAUGAAGGCCUUAGGGUCGUAAAGCUCUUUCACCGAUGAAGAUAAUGACGGUAGUCGGAGAAGAAGCCCCGGCUAACUUCGUGCCAGCAGCCGCGGUAAUACGAAGGGGGCUAGCGUUGUUCGGAAUUACUGGGCGUAAAGCGCACGUAGGCGGAUAUUUAAGUCAGGGGUGAAAUCCCAGAGCUCAACUCUGGAACUGCCUUUGAUACUGGGUAUCUUGAGUAUGGAAGAGGUAAGUGGAAUUGCGAGU
rnacentral:rRNA from 1 species